GGCAUCUUGUAGGCAGUGAAAGUACGCUGUUGUGUGUGUGUCACGUGUGGGACUGUUCACUGCAGUUUAUUGCCUGUAUCUCUGUCCGGCACUGUGUGCUGUAUGACGUACUGGGGGACAGCAGAUAGUUCUCUACUGUCGCUAAUACACUUGGUGGCUACUAGAACCUCAUACAACCCCCACUUAAAAAAAAUUGAACUAUCCCUGUACUGUUUUUGCUCAUGUUUCUAGUUCGCAUGACUAAGGCGUUCAUACCAUACUCUAACAAUGUAUUUUGUGUGUUUUAGGUGCUGCUGGUCCAUUCAUUGCGGUUUGGCUACAUUCAUUUUACUGCUUGUUUCUUUGUUUUGUAGGACACAAAUGAGAGAAGAAGGGCUGCUGCUCUGCUUGGUCUGCCAUACUACAUAUCAGGCGAAGAUCCAUCGAAUGUCAUCAGGAUGUGUGAUUCUCAUGCUGAGAACCUGGAUGAAGCCAUGAGGGAGAUGCAGCUUGGAAUCCUGAUAGGCUAUGAAGGCGAAUGAGGGGCCAUUCCAAACGAGAAGACAGAAGGGAAUAAAGCAAAGAAGGGAGGCAUGAAGAAAAAAGAGGGAGGAAGGGAGGAGGUUCUUGUUUAACAUGCAUAAAUGACUGGCUUUUAGGAUUGCCACCUGUUAAAAUUGCAUUCAACAAAGAAUGAAACUGUAAGGAGCUGUAAUUCAAAUAAAUGUGUUUUAAGUUGAGUUGUGUAUUCAGUGUAAUCUUUUAGGAAACUGGUGAACUUGCCAUUAUUAUUCAAGAUGGGAUACAAAUUGAAAACAUUAGACUACUUAAUUUGCAAUAAUAAUGUUCAAUUGCUGCCUUAAAAAAUUGAGUUAAUGUAACUUGAAAAGGCAAUUGGUAUGAAUAUAGUUGGUUAGUAAAACUAGAAAAUGUGAGUUGAAAGGGUGUGUAAUUGUAUGUUUUUUCAAAUGGAUAAUGUAAUAUAGUUAGUAGUCUCAACUCAAGCGUAUCAGGUUCAAACAAUAAAAAUGUAUGAGUUAACAACUAGUAUAACUAAAUUUUGUGA
rnacentral:lncRNA from 1 species